GACGAACGCUGGCGGCGUGCUUAACACAUGCAAGUCGAACGGAAAGGCCUGCUUUCCCUUGUGGAUUGCGGGUACUCGAGUGGCGAACGGGUGAGUAACACGUGAGUGAUCUGCCCCCAACUUGGGUAUAAGCCUGGGAAACUGGGUCUAAUUCCCGAUAGGACUGCAGGGUGGUGCCUGUGGUGGAAAACGAUUUUCUAGUGGUUGGGGAUGAGCUCGCGGCCUAUCAGCUUGUUGGUGGGGUAAUGGCCUACCAAGGCGGCGACGGGUAGCCGGCCUGAGAGGGUGGACGGCCACAUUGGGACUGAGAUACGGCCCAGACUCCUACGGGAGGCAGCAGUGGGGAAUAUUGCACAAUGGGCGGAAGCCUGAUGCAGCGACGCCGCGUGGGGGAUGACGGCCUUCGGGUUGUAAACUCCUUUCGACCGCGAGGACGCCACCUGGUUGGAAGGGUGGUGACGGUAGUGGUAGAAGAAGCACCGGCUAACUACGUG
rnacentral:rRNA from 1 species